UGCCUUUGUUGCUGUGUGUUGACAAGGAGAGAAUGCUGUCGGCAAAAUCUGAUGCAGCUGGCUGUUUGUUUUCUUGGAGCACCCAAAGAAUGGUGAGCAGUGGGAUACAGGCAUUGGGUCCAGGAAAUCUCCUUAAAAAGAUGUCUGUAUAAGCGGUUACUUCAUACGCAUAUACCUCUACUUUCAGUCUCAAUUGCCCUAAAUUGCAUAGAAGAGGAAGACAAAGGUCAUAGUCUAUAAAAAUAAAGGAAGAACAUUCCCAUGAUUCUGCAUCUUGAUUCUGGGUCCUGGAAAGAAAUUUAUAAGGAGCUGACAUGAUCCUGACCCUUAACUUGAAGCAGAAUUGGGCUCAGCUGACUUGCAUUCCUGUGAGCAAGAAAUUGAUGUACAUACUAAUAAGUAAGGAAUAAAUGUUGUUAUAAAGCCACUGAGGUUUGAGAGUUGAUUUUUAUGCAUUGUUAUUGCAACAAUCAUUGAUGAAUACAGGCGUGCUGUAUUUGAAGCUCUCACGUGUCUUUAAUGGCCAGCUUCUCAGUGCUCACAGAGUUCCUCGGUUUCACCAGAUCUUCCCC